rnacentral:lncRNA from 1 species
GCCCAGAUGGAGAGGGACAAAGAGAGGCCAGGACAGUGCGCGGGCUCGCGCAGGAGGUUGACAGAUAGAAGUGGGGAUACAGGCUCUGAAUUCUCAUUCUGACAGAGCGCCCCAAGAGAAAACUCUCAGGAAACACUUGUUUUCCGUUCUCUUUUUCCUAACCCAGCCUUUAUUGAAAUUGGGAACCGAGAUGGGUGCCCAAGGGGGCCCCCCCAAGGGUGAAAAACCAACUUCCUUGAUAAAUUCCUGUCCUUUCAUCUUGGGACUCUUUGUGUCCUCUGAAUUUUUUCCCCCCCAGCAAUCGGAGAUUAAGAAGUCACUCUGAUGUCUAACUGCAAUCCCUAUCGUUGUUCCAUUCUACUUUGAGGAAGCUUUUGAAUUGCCUUCAAGGAAUGUGAAAAGUGAACCCUUUUAUGAGCCUUUAGAGAGUUGCCAACCUUCUGAAUCUUGGAAGGACUGAGCAGGAAGGACUUUUAGGGUUCGCCUGGUCACCACGAUCUGCCUUCAGCAAAGCAGCUGUUCUGUAGCGGUUAGUCCUUUAUGCUGGCAACAGCUCUGGUUACACUUUGCCCUCAAACCACAGUCUAUCAUUUACUAGCCCUUUGACUUUGAACAAAUUAACCUGUUGGUGUUUGUUUUCCCAUUUGUAAGAAAGUAUAAUAGAUCGUCAUGGGAAUUUUAUGCUUACAUGAAAUAUCUUUGCAUGGUUUAGCACUACACAAAGAGUGUCCCCCCUACCCUCAUCUUUCUACAGAUCAUGAAACCUGAAGCCUAGAGUGGCCCAGAGGUCUCAAGUUCAUGGAGCUGUCACUCAGGUCCUUGGCCAGAUCUCAGCUCCACAAUCCCAAGCAGCUGUCUGCACCGUGUCUCAGUAGCCUCAGCUUGCUUUUGUUUGUUGGCUGUGGAGAACACCUUGAAAUACAUGCUUUUGGCAUUUGAAGCAGGGGCAUCUUGUCAACCCAACUCACAUUUCAUCCCCAAGUACUCUCAUGAUGUUCACCCAGUACCUCACCCUGUCCAACCUUAGAUAAGGAUGGAGGCUCCAGUGACUGAGCAUGGUGAUUCAUACAUGAAAUUCCCACUUUCUGAGCCCGAGGCAGGAGAAUCAGGUAUUCAAGGCCAGCCUCAGCUACACAGUGACACAUUGUUUCCAAAGAAAGAAAAGGAAAGAAUGGUCUUAGCAAGGAUGACAUAACUGUAAUGUUUGCACUCUAGAGUGGAGGACAAUGAGGUGGUGAGACACUUUAUUAAAAAACAAAAACAUGCCUGGCAGGGGUGGCACACGCCUUUAAUCCGAGCACUGGGGAGGCAGACGCAGGCGGAUCUCUGUGAGUUUGAGGUCCUGCAAAUCCUGGGCCUCCACCCUUGGUCACGGAUCCUGCUGGCACUUUCAAUACUCAACCGGAAGUCAGAAAGAAAACACAGAGAACCAGCGCCAUCUGGUGGAC